UGACAACCCCCCAUCCAGAGGAGAGUGAAAUUGCUCUCUACGAUUUGGACAGGUCAUGAAAAGCUAUCUCUAGAAAUUUUUGAAACCUUAUAUUUCAUUUCAAAAAUGAGUGCGAUUUUGCAUUUCUACCGCAAAAUAUAUCUCAGCCACAUACCGUUGGACCUAAUGUGACCAGCUGGCCCCAGGUGUGUCCAGACACACAACUUUGGACAUAUUAGGAGAAAUGAUCAGACUUCAGAAGGCCAAACCCAGCCCCUCCUGCUCUUGUGGCCGUGUCUCUUCCAGGUUUCUUGCCCUCUGUUUUUCUGGAACCCUGAGGGAUUUUACACAUGUUCCCUAAUGCUCCAUUCUCACAAGCCCGGGGUCCUCUCACCCCCUCUCACCCCUAAGUUUGUCCCUAAGUUCACUGAGUCAACAGCCUCGCAUGGGGGCAGGGUCCAGACAGCACCUCUUUCUCUUCCUGCAUUUCUUCAGGAGCCAGAAAGGGAUGGGGGUGUCUCUCCUAAAUUGUAUCAAUGUCUGGCAGCUCCGUAAGCCCUGUGUUCUGUCAUCUCAGGUCACUCUGCUGGCCUUGGGCCCCUCUCUGUCCUGCUGACCAUUCUGGUCUGGGCCCUGGGGAAAGGGCUUUCCUUUGUUGUGUCACAGAAGAGCUCCCAGCAGAGCGCAGCUUUCGCGUCUCUCCUGCAUAUCUCGGCCCUCUGCUUCCAGCAGGCAGGCUCUCCCGGACUCAGGGACUCCAUGGUCCUCCACAGCCUGGCUGUCGUCAGGGUCUCCGCUCUUUAGUGGCCGUUCAGAAAGUGUCACUCUGAACAUAAAGACAAAGCUAGUCUUCAGGAGUGGAAGUGAGGGGCAGCUGAUAAGUCUCAGCUCUGACCCAGCCAAGACACCUUAGUGGGUGAAAGUCCCCCUCUGUGCCGUGUUGAUGGAGCUUGUGUCUCUCAUCUUUGUUUUUCAAAUACAAUGGCUACAGGAAGUGCUCAACAGAAUUUUUUUUUUACAUAAUUGAGUGGAUGGAUGGAGGCAUGAGCCUCUACAUGCAAAAACAG
rnacentral:lncRNA from 1 species